UACGGAAGGGGCAAGCGUUGUUCGGAAUCAUUGGGCGUAAAGCGCGUGUAGGCGGCGUGGCAAGUCGGGUGUGAAAGCCCUCAGCUCAACUGAGGAAGUGCGCCCGAAACUGCUGUGCUUGAGUGCCGGAGAGGGUGGCGGAAUUCCCCAAGUAGAGGUGAAAUUCGUAGAUAUGGGGAGGAACACCGGUGGCGAAGGCGGCCACCUGGACGGUAACUGACGCUGAGGCACGAAGGCCAGGGGAGCAAACGGG
rnacentral:rRNA from 1 species